rnacentral:lncRNA from 1 species
AUCGUUGACUUUGUGAUACAAGCAUCAAAUUGGGCACAAAUCAUCUUCUAGACCUGGACUAAAUAUAUACACCCCAUACUAAAAGGUGAAAACACUAAAGGCGGAGACAGAGGAGGAACACACAGGAUCACAUGGGGCAUGACAGGCACGGAGGAGGAAGGUAAACAAACAGAGCAGUAAAAACAC